rnacentral:lncRNA from 1 species
AACAUUGCAUAUGUAUUUUUGUUGUGCUUUUUUGGAAUUUUAGAAUAUAAAUGUAUAUGUGAAAAUAUAUUUCGUACUUGUUUUACUUCCGUUUGACGCAGUAUUUUUUGUAUUUGGUUGAAAACUUUUGCUUUGUUUGUAUGUAACUUUAAACAAAUAUUGUAUAAAAUGUAUUUUAUAAAUUGUGAUGUUGGCUGGGUAACUUUGUCUGCACUUAAAGCUGUAAAUAGUGUGUUAAAAUAAGUGAUAUCUCACAAAUAUGUAUAUUUGUUUAUUUAUUGAUUAAAUCAAGUAGAAAUGGGAAGCAUACCAGACCCUGUGAAACACUCUGACCAAUGAACGUACGAAAAGAACUUCGAAGAAUAUGUCACUGAUGUUAUAUUGUUGAGCACAUCAACAACAUUCGUUGACCUGCACGAUGUUUUGGCAUCUCACUUAAGUGUGGAUUUAACUAGAAAACGUAUUUUAGUGGAAUAUCAAAUCAUUGCUAAUGCAGGGCAAAUAGAAAUACAUAACGAUAUGGGUUUGAAGGCGUUUAUAUUGCAGAAAAAGCUGAUACAAGACAUAAUUGUCUUCCUUUAUAUGUAAGCAUUUUAGAUAAAGUUGUAGGGAACAACUUGGCAAGUUCAUCUAUAUGUGUUGUUGAAAGAGAUAUCAAUUGUAAUAACUUCCAAACAAUGAUAAAUACAACAAAUAAAGGAGCUUUGGUGGUUUGUGA